UUUCCUGCUUCCAAGUUGGUGACCAAUCUAGAUAUUAAAGCUACAAAUGACUUAUAUUGUAUUUCAGCAGAUUACAUUUAAUUAAUUAGUAAAAGGAAAACACAAACAGAUGAAAGACUUUUUCUGGAGUAUGAUUGACAAGGAAAAAACAAAUGAUACUGAGUGAUGGUAUGAGGGAACUUUCAGCAAAGCAUACAGAGAGAAAGGAGGAAGUAAUCACAGAUAAAGCCAACCAAUAUAAAGGUAGAGUCUUGAAGAAGACAAGAACGUUUUUGUUAAAAGUGAAUACAGGUACAAGGGAAGGAUGUCCACCCUCAUUGCCUUUAUCUAACAUCGUACCAGAGGGCCAACCCACUGCAAUAAGACAAGAAAAAGAAAUAAUAUAAAUACAUAUUGAAAGGAACUAGUGGCUUCUGGACAGAGGUGGGAGGAAGAAUUACUUUUCAUUAUGUACCAUGUUGUAUCUUUUGGAUUUAUAUGUCAUAUGCAAGUAUUAACUAUCCAAAAAAUAAUUAUGUGAAAUUUACAGAAUAGGGAUUGGAAUAAGAACUCCUUCUUGACCCCUGUGUUUGGUAUGGAAGUCAAAGUUGAGACUGAAGAGGAGUGAUAAAAAUUGUGACAAAUAAAAAAGGGAAGUAAAUAUGGGAUGAUGAGCCUAUUGAUGCCAAAAAAGGGAAUUCUCCAAUUUAAGGGCACCAAAGAGGAAGAUAUAAGAACCUAAAAGGCAGUGGGUCAGAAAGCACACUUAAGUCUAAGGACUCAGUGGAGUGGUGCUGGGUAGGAGGGUGAAAUUUGGAAGGGAGGCUGUUGCAAAAAAUGAGAAAGAGUAUGUGACCAUCUGUAUGUAUCUGUUAUUAUCUCCUUGAUCUAAGCUUCCCUCUCUUACUGUGGUCAUGCACCCACAUCUCAGGGGUUCCACAAAUGUAACAGUCCCCGUCCUUGGAAAAAAUUGUACUAUCAGUUAUUUGCAUGCUUGAGCUUGUGAGUGUGGUAUCAGUAGGGUCCCCAAGAUGGCAAUGACGCAGAGCAGGAAAGUAAUUGUUUUACAGAAAUCUGUUUCUUUCUAUUUCUGCAUUCUGUUUCUAGGGUCAAUGCAAGUAUAUUUGCAGUUGAAUGGAACAGAGCUUCUAGGAAAUAAAAAACAGAUGUUGGAGGAAGGCAUUCAGGGUGAGUCAGGAGAAGCCCUUAAGGCACUCUGUGCUCACGGCUGGCCCUACACUUUUCCUUGCUUUUAUCUCGAUAGAUGCUGGAAUUCCCAACUCUGCCUAGGCUGCACCAAGGCUGUAGUGGAUUUAAAAAUGUCAAACUACACUGACUCCCAAGCCUGAAUGUCCUGUGGAAAGAAAAGAAUAGUUUCGCUGAUCUCAUAAAGAGUACCCUUAGGCAAAGGAACAUAUUCUUCCUGAUUCACUUCUCAGAUGUAGAGAAAUAUGGACAUAUAAACUACUUUGGGUUAUUUUUGAGAGGCGGGGGAGAGUCAGAGAGAGAGG